rnacentral:rRNA from 1 species
CUCUUAGUAACUGCGAGUGAAACGAGAUUAGCCCAACAUCGAAGCCUCUUUGCUCUUGUGAAGAAGGCAAUGUGAUGUUAAGGCAUUUAAAUUCACAGACUGGCUAACUUGAAGUCCAUAUUUGACUGUGGCUUAUGCGUAUGCACCCAGAGAAGGUGAAAGGCCCGUUCAGGUUGGUAUUCCGAUAUGACAGUUCUGUGUAUAUUUAUUUGUCUUGGAGUCGGAUUGCUUGAGAGUGCAGUCCAAAACUGGUGGUAAACUCCAUCUAAGGCUAAAUACCUGUACGAAUCCGAUAGUCGACAAGUACCGUGAGGGAAAGUUGAAAAGUACUCUGAAGAGAGAGUAAAUAGUACGUGAAACUACAUGGAGGUUAAACAGAUAGAGUCAAGCUGCGUGUUAUUGUUCAUUGCAUUGAUUGCUUUUGGGUUUCAUGGCAGACAUGAUGUACUGGUAUAUUCGCCUAUCCACUUGUGGGUAUUUGAAUAAAUAUGUGGUUCAUAGUGCUUCAUGCUUGUCGGCAUUCAUUGUUUAUGACUUUAACUAGUGCCACGGUCGAUUGACUUACCAGCGUGUUUUAACCGACAAUUAUGCGUGUUAUUGCCAUAACGUGUAUAAUGGGUAUGACAGUUGGCUUAAUCAUAUGCUUGCGUGUGGUUAAGUCUAACAGGGCUACGGCCUGUCGAUUAUAACAUUAGCUGUGUAGUUAAUCGGUCAAAUAUGCUCAUUAAAGCCAUGCAAGCUUUCCGACUUUGUUGGUGGUUUGUGUGGUUGAGUUUAUGA